rnacentral:rRNA from 1 species
GACGAACGCUGGCGGCGUGCCUAAUACAUGCCAGUUGAGCGCUGAAGGUUGGUACUUGUACCGACUGGAUGAGCAGCGAACGGGUGAGUAACGCGUGGGGAAUCUGCCUUUGAGCGGGGGACAACAUUUGGAAACGAAUGCUAAUACCGCAUAAAAACUUUAAACACAAGUUUUAAGUUUGAAAGAUGCAAUUGCAUCACUCAAAGAUGAUCCCGCGUUGUAUUAGCUAGUUGGUGAGGUAAAGGCUCACCAAGGCGAUGAUACAUAGCCGACCUGAGAGGGAGAUCGGGCACAUUGGGACUGAGACACGGCCCAAACUCCUACGGGAGGCAGCAGUAGGGAAUCUUCGGCAAUGGAGGAAAGUCUGACCGAGCAACGCCGCGUGAGUGAAGAAGGGUUUCGGGUCGGAAAACUCUGUUGGUAGAGAAGAACGUUGGUGAGAGUGGAAAGCUCAUCAAGUGACGGUAACUACACAGAAAGGGACGGCUAACUACGUG